GGGAAUAAAUUUUCUAAAGUGUUUAGAUUAUGCAAUAAUUUUUUUAGAUUUUUCAAUUAACUUUAAGUACUUGAAAAAAAAUUUUUUAAGUGACGUACUCGCUUUCGAGGCCGUGCGCGCAACCUAACAAUGGCGCGCGGCGGGCUAUUUUCAGCGUUAAAUUAAAAUUAUAAAUAAUGGAGCUACAGUUCCGGGAGUUGGAACUUUUUUUUACUAAAUUUCCUCCUCUUUAAGGAUCUUUUUUUCAAAUUUCGAAAAUAUUUAUAGUUUACGGACAAUAAGCCAUAAACGAAACGCUAUUUUUUGAAGGUGUUUAAUUGUUAAUAACUUUUGGAAUUUUUUAUGUGCUAAUUCAAUUUUUUAGCACAAUGGUCUAGACAUUAUUCCGGAUCGAAUGAGCUAAACCACAUAAUUUUAGCAGUAGUAUGUCGAAUUAACACCAUUUUUAACUUGUCGACUAGACUAUAUCGACGGGCAGCAGUUCCUAUCGGAUUUAUCUAUCCAUCGUCGGGAGGACGGAUAGCCUGCUAAAGAUAGAACGCUCAUACAAAUCGUGCUUACUUCCGUUUCAAUAUGAGUUUUAAGUAACUCUCCGGUAGGCGGCGCUAUCUCUAGUAUGGGCAUUCGCUUAUCUGUCAAAAUCGGCUGGUUACAUGUUUAUCUUUCGAAAGUAAAUCGCUAUAAUUUAAUAAUUGUUUCUCUUCAUAUUGGCAUAUUGUAGCAGUGAUGAUAGUGAUAUGGAAUUAUUUCAAAUGAUAAUGGAUUGUGAUGCAGAUAGUGAUAGUGAGGCCGAUAUCAUAUGGUUAGGAAAAUAAAGAUCGUCUGAAUUACAUGGCGAAGAUCAAUAAUUACGAAUUUGACUAUAGAUUUCUGAGCAAAGGUGUUGUGAAUGAAUUGAUUAAUUUAAUGAGACCAUAUUUGAGUGUAACGUCAAAAAGAUUCAAAUAUAGGAGAGGAAUUUAGAAAUAGAAAAAGAGUAUUUUGAAUGUGUAAUUUGUGUGCAAUGCAUCAUUGAUGUUUCAAAAUGUUGUUGCUUGAUGGCCUGGGUCUACUCAUGAUACAACUAUAAUUAACCAUUCCGAUUGAAAAGAUGCAUUGGUGUUUGUAAAAGAAGACUCCCUGUAUAUCAUUGAAAAGUAGAUUAAAACUAGAAAAUAUGCAAGCUGUUAUUAUAGCUGCCAUGCUGCAUAAUAUCGUCAGAAGUAUGAAUUUAGAAGAAUUAGAAUCAGACAUUUCAGUCGCAGAUACAUUACAGGAAAAUAAUAUAAUUGUUCGUAACAAUUUUUCAAAACUUACAUCUGAAAUACAACUAUGUACUUAUAAAUAAUUGCUUCCAAAGAUAAUUUAUAAAAUAAACUCCAAAGAUAA